rnacentral:rRNA from 1 species
GACGAACGCUGGCGGCGUGCUUAACACAUGCAAGUCGAGCGGUAAGGCCCUUUCGGGGGUACACGAGCGGCGAACGGGUGAGUAACACGUGGGUGACCUGCCCUCAGCUCUGGGAUAAGCCUGGGAAACCGGGUCUAAUACUGGAUAUGACUCCAUGACGCAUGUUGUGGGGUGGAAAGCCUUGUGCGGCUGAGGAUGGGCCCGCGGCCUAUCAGCUUGUUGGUGGGGUGAGGCCUACCAAGGCGACGACGGGUAGCCGGCCUGAGAGGGCGACCGGCCACACUGGGACUGAGACACGGCCCAGACUCCUACGGGAGGCAGCAGUGGGGAAUUUUGGACAAUGGGGGCAACCCUGAUCCAGCCAUGCCGCGUGUGUGAAGAAGGG